UACGAGUGCCCCAAGCGUUAUCCGGAAUUAUUGGGCGUAAAGAGUGUGUAGGUGGUUUUGUUAGUCUUCUGUUAAAUUCUUCGGCUUAACCGGGGGUCUGCAAAAGAAACGGCAAAACUAGAGGAUGCGAGAGGUGUGCGGAACUCAUGGUGUAGGGGUGAAAUCCGUUGAUAUCAUGGGGAACACCGAAAGCGAAGGCAGCACACUGGCGCACUCCUGACACUGAAACACGAAAGCGUGGGUAGCGAAUGGG
rnacentral:rRNA from 1 species